rnacentral:rRNA from 1 species
GAGGAUCAUUAUUGAAUGAAUGUAGAGUUGGUUGUCGCUGGCCCUUUCGGGGGUAUGUGCACGCCUUCUCUUUCAUCCACACACACCUGUGCACUUGUGAGACGGAGGGCUUUAAUUAGUCUUCCGUCUAUUCAACCACACAAACUCAUUGUAUUUAAACUGAAUGUAAUUGAUGUAACGCAUCAUUAGAACUAAGUUUCAACAACGGAUCUCUUGGCUCUCGCAUCGAUGAAGAACGCAGCGAAAUGCGAUAAGUAAUGUGAAUUGCAGAAUUCAGUGAAUCAUCGAAUCUUUGAACGCACCUUGCGCUCCUUGGUAUUCCUUGGAGCAUGCCUGUUUGAGUAUCAUGAAAUUCUCAAAGUAAAUCUUUUGUUAAUUCAACUGGUUUUGCUUUGGACUUGGAGGUCUUUGCAGAUUUCACGUCUGCUCCUCUUAAAUGCAUUAGCUGGAUCUCAGUAUAUGCUUGGUUCCACUCGGCGUGAUAAGUAUCACUCGCUGAGGACACUGUAAAAGGUGGCCAGGAAAUACAGAUGAACCGCUUCUAAUAGUCUAUUAAGUUAGACAAUUUAAUUUUAAGAUCUGAUCUCAAAUCAGGUAGGACUACCCGCUGAACUUAAGCAUAUCAAUAAGCGGAGGAA